rnacentral:rRNA from 1 species
UGCGACCCCAGGUCAGGCGGG